rnacentral:rRNA from 1 species
UACGAGGGGGGCAAGCUUGUUCGGAAUUAUUGGGCGUAAAGGGUGCGUAGGCGGUUUGGUAAGUCUGAUGUGAAAUCUAUGGGCUCAACUCAUAGUCUGCAUCGGAAACUGCCGGGCUUGAGUGUGGGAGAGGUGAGUGGAAUUCCUGGUGUAGCGGUGAAAUGCGUAGAUAUCAGGAGGAACACCUGUGGCGAAAGCGGCUCACUGGACCAUAACUGACGCUGAUGCACGAAAGCUAGGGGAGCAAACAGG